CAAUAAGCGGAGGAAAAGAAACCAACAGGGAUUGCCCCAGUAACGGCGAGUGAAGCGGCAACAGCUCAAAUUUGAAAUCUGGCCCCCGGGGUCCGAGUUGUAAUUUGUAGAGGAUGCUUUUGGCGAGGUGCCUUCCGAGUUCCCUGGAACGGGACGCCAUAGAGGGUGAGAGCCCCGUCUGGUCGGACACCGAGCCUCUGUAAAGCUCCUUCGACGAGUCGAGUAGUUUGGGAAUGCUGCUCAAAAUGGGAGGUAUAUGUCUUCUAAAGCUAAAUAUUGGCCAGAGACCGAUAGCGCACAAGUAGAGUGAUCGAAAGAUGAAAAGCACUUUGAAAAGAGGGUUAAAAAGUACGUGAAAUUGUUGAAAGGGAAGCGCCUAUGACCAGACUUGGGCCCGGUGAAUCAUCCAGCGUUCUCGCUGGUGCACUUUGCCGGGCACAGGCCAGCAUCAGUUUGGCGCGGGGGACAAAGGUUUUGGGAAUGUGGCUCCCUCGGGAGUGUUAUAGCCCAUUGCGUAAUACCCUGCGCCGGACUGAGGUACGCGCAUCUUGCAAGGAUGCUGGCGUAAUGGU
rnacentral:rRNA from 1 species